rnacentral:rRNA from 1 species
AGUGAACGCUGGCGGUAGGCCUAACACAUGCAAGUCGAACGGCAGCACAGUAAGAGCUUGCUCUUACGGGUGGCGAGUGGCGGACGGGUGAGGAAUACAUCGGAAUCUACUUUUUCGUGGGGGAUAACGUAGGGAAACUUACGCUAAUACCGCAUACGACCUACGGGUGAAAGCAGGGGAUCUUCGGACCUUGCGCGAUUGAAUGAGCCGAUGUCGGGUUAGCUAGUUGGCGGGGUAAAGGCCCACCAAGGCGACGAUCCGUAGCUGGUCUGAGAGGAUGAUCAGCCACACUGGAACUGAGACACGGUCCAGACUCCUACGGGAGGCAGCAGUGGGGAAUAUUGGACAAUGGGCGCAAGCCUGAUCCAGCCAUACCGCGUGGGUGAAGAAGGCCUUCGGGUUGUAAAGCCCUUUUGUUGGGAAAGAAAAGCAGCAGGUUAAUACCCCGCUGUUCUGACGGUACCCAAGGAAUAAGCACCGGCUAACUUCGUG